rnacentral:sRNA from 1 species
CAAUAGAAUAGGGGACUCAAGGGUGGACGGUACACUCCCGGUGAAAGGGGGUGGUGCCUAUAACGGUUUUUCAAGCGCUGAUGUUUGCUAUUUCGUUUACGAAUCUUGUGAUUGCCAUUUUGGCGUUUAACCAUAAAAAAUAAUCCACCCUUGAGUUGACGGCUCGGCGGGUGGAUUAUCUUCGUUUUGACCGAUCCCCCUUGCAGGGAACCUUUCUAUUGAGGGGCCGUCUGGUGUGCAAUCACCAGGCGG